GAUGAAGAACGCAGCGAAAUGCGAUAAGUAAUGUGAAUUGCAGAAUUCAGUGAAUCAUCGAAUCUUUGAACGCACAUUGCGCCCGCCAGUAUUCUGGCGGGCAUGCCUGUUCGAGCGUCAUUUCAACCAUCAAGCCCCCGGGCUUGUGUUGGGGACCUGCGGCUGCCCGCAGGCCCUGAAAACCAGUGGCGGGCUCGCUGUCACACCGAGCGUAGUAGCAAUCACCUCGCUCAGGGCGUGCUGCGGGUUCCGGCCGUUAAACAGCCUUACAAAACCCAAGGUUGACCUCGGAUCAGGUAGGAAGACCCGCUGAACUUAAGCAUAUCAAUAAGCGGAGGA
rnacentral:misc_RNA from 1 species